rnacentral:rRNA from 1 species
CCCUUAGAUGUUCUGGGCCGCACGCGCGCUACACUGAUGCAUUCAACGAGUUUCUUCCUGGUCCGAGAGAAAUGGGUAACCUUUUGAAAGUGCAUCGUGAUAGGGAUAGACUAUUGCAAUUAUUGGUCUUCAACGAGGAAUUCCUAGUAGACGUAGUUCAUCAGACUGCAUCGAUUACGUCCCUGCCCUUUGUACACACCGCCCGUCGCUCCUACCGAUUGAAUGCUCAGGUGAGCCAUUCGGACUUUCAUCAUGCUGGUUUCCAGUUUUGAUGAAGGAAAGUCUUGCGAACCUUAUCAUUUAGAGGAAGGAGAAGUCGUAACA